rnacentral:rRNA from 1 species
UACGGGGGGAGCAAGCGUUGUUCGGAUUUACUGGGCGUAAAGGGCGCGUAGGCGGCCACCGCAAGUCGACUGUGAAAUCUCCGGGCUUAACCCGGAAAGGUCAGCCGAUACUGCGGGGCUAGAGUGCAGAAGGGGCAACUGGAAUUCUCGGUGUAGCGGUGAAAUGCGUAGAGAAUCGGGAGGAACACCUGUGGCGAAGGCGGCCGACUGGGCCGACCCUGACGCUGAGGCGCGAAGGCGUGGGGAGCGAACGGG